ACUUAUAUUCUGUAGCAAGGUUAACCGUAUAGGGGAGCCGGAGGGAAACCGAGUCUUAACCGGGCGUUAAGUUGCAGGGUAUAGACCCGAAACCCGGUGAUCUAGCCAUGGGCAGGUUGAAGGUUGGGUAACACUAACUGGAGGACCGAACCGACUAAUGUUGAAAAAUUAGCGGAUGACCUGUGGCUGGGGGUGAAAGGCCAAUCAAACCGGGAGAUAGCUGGUUCUCCCCGAAAGCUAUUUAGGUAGCGCCUCGUGAAUUCAUCUCCGGGGGUAGAGCACUGUUUCGGCUAGGGGGCCAUCCCGGCUUACCAACCCGAUGCAAACUGCGAAUACCGGAGAAUGUUAUCACGGGAGACACACGGCGGGUGCUAACGUCCGUCGUGAAGAGGGAAACAACCCAGACCGCCAGCUAAGGUCCCAAAGUCAUGGUUAAGUGGGAAACGAUGUGGGAAGGCCCAGACAGCCAGGAUGUUGGCUUAGAAGCAGCCAUCAUUUAAAGAAAGCGUAAUAGCUCACUGGUCGAGUCGGCCUGCGCGGAAGAUGUAACGGGGCUAAACCAUGCACCGAAGCUGCGGCAGCGAACGUAUCACCCAAGACAACUUUACGGAGUUGACGAUUGACGGAGCGAAGCGACGUCAAAGCGUUCAUUAAAGUCGAGUUGGCUUAGGGAUACGUUCGUUGGGUAGGGGAGCGUUCUGUAAGCCUGUGAAGGUGUGUCGUGAGGCAUGCUGGAGGUAUCAGAAGUGCGAAUGCUGACAUAAGUAACGAUAAAGCGGGUGAAAAGCCCGCUCGCCGGAAGACCAAGGGUUCCUGUCCAACGUUAAUCGGGGCAGGGUGAGUCGACCCCUAAGGCGAGGCCGAAAGGCGUAGUCGAUGGGAAACGGGUUAAUAUUCCCGUACUUGGUGUUACUGCGAAGGGGGGACGGAGAAGGCUAUGUUGGCCGGGCGACGGUUGUCCCGGUUUAAGCGUGUAGGUGUGUGUUCCAGGUAAAUCCGGUUCACUUUAACACUGAGGCGUGACGACGAGGCACUACGGUGCUGAAGCAACAAAUGCCCUGCUUCCAGGAAAA
rnacentral:rRNA from 1 species